GCAGACACAUUCCAGCCAAUCAGCAGCAGACCCUCCCUCCCAGACUCUCCCACCUCCUGGACAGCUCACUAAGAAUGCAGCUUCACAAUGAAUGUAAAAUGGAUGCUGUCCAGGAGGUGGGAGGGUCUGGGAGGGAGGGUCUGCUGCUGAUUGGCUGGAAUGUGUCUG